rnacentral:misc_RNA from 1 species
GGGACAGGCUUGCUUGAGCGGAUAUGCGAACAGCAGAUAGGAUCACAGUAGCAGCUACUUCUUCCUAAGAGGAGAAAGAAAGCCGACCCUUUGGCUCGCUUCCGACUGUCUUGCCCAGAAUGAUUGGAAUGAGACAGUACUAAUCCGCCCAAUAGCUUAAUAACCCAAGCUAAGUAGGGUAAGGUGUCUCCGGGGAGAGAACUUGUACCUUGAAA